UACGGAGGGGGCUAGCGUUGUUCGGAAUUACUGGGCGUAAAGGGUGCGUAGGCGGUCAGGUAAGUCUGAUGUGAAAUCUCUGGGCUUAACCCAGAAAUGGCAUUGGAUACUAUUUGGCUUGAGAGUUGGAGGGGGGACUGGAAUUCUUGGUGUAGCAGUGAAAUGCGUAGAUAUCAAGAGGAACACCAGUGGCGAAGGCGAGUCCCUGGACAACUUCUGACGCUGAGGCACGAAAGCUAGGGGAGCAAACAGG
rnacentral:rRNA from 1 species